UACGUAGGGCGCAAGCGUUAUCCGGGAUUAUUGGGCGUAAAGAGCUCGUAGGCGGUUUGUCGCGUCUGCCGUGAAAGUCCGGGGCUCAACUCCGGAUCUGCGGUGGGUACGGGCAGACUAGAGUGAUGUAGGGGAGACUGGAAUUCCUGGUGUAGCGGUGAAAUGCGCAGAUAUCAGGAGGAACACCGAUGGCGAAGGCAGGUCUCUGGGCAUUAACUGACGCUGAGGAGCGAAAGCAUGGGGAGCAAACAGG
rnacentral:rRNA from 1 species